CUUGGUCAUUUAGAGGAAGUAAAAGUCGUAACAAGGUUUCCGUAGGUGAACCUGCGGAAGGAUCAUUAGUGAAUUAUAGGGCGUCUACUUCGGUAGAGCCUGACCUCCACUUUCUAACUCUGUGCACUCAUUUGGCGGAAUACGGAACAGUAAUCGUCUACCGACGAUUAGGACUUCUGCUUUCUGCGGCUUACUUUAAAACACUAGUCAAAGUAUGUAACGAAAUAUCGAAAUAAAAAAAACUUUCAACAACGGAUCUCUUGGCUCUCGCAUCGAUGAAGAACGCAGCGAAAUGUGAUAAGUAAUGUGAAUUGCAGAAUUCAGUGAAUCAUCGAAUCUUUGAACGCACCUUGCGCUCCCUAGUAUUCUGGGGAGCAUGUCUGUUUGAGUGUCAUGAACUCUUCAACCCUCCAGUUUCUUGUAGACUGAUUGGUGUUUGGAUUUUGAAUGCUGCUGGUCUUCGGACGUAGCUCAUUAGUAAUAUAUUAGCAUCUCUAAUUCGAAUUCGGAUUGACUCAGUGUAAUAGACUAUUCGCUGAGGACACUUUUAUUAGUGGCCGAAUAAGAUAAUUGUAGAAGCUUCGAACCUCUAUAGUCAACUUUAGAUUAGACCUCAGAUCAGGCAGGAUUACCCGCUGAACUUAAGCAUAUCAAUAAGCGGAGGA
rnacentral:rRNA from 1 species